GGCAACCCGCUGGAGUUGGCUUCCCCAAUGUGGAAGUUUUGUUCUUUCUCUCUUUGGGUGCACGCUGCUUUUAUGAGCUGUAACGCUCACUGCGAAGAUCUGCAGCUUCCCUCCUAAGCCCACAGAGACCAUGAGCCCACCAGGAGGAAUGAACAACUCCAGACACGCCGCUUUAAGAGCUUGUAACACUCACCACGAAGGUCUGUAGCUUCAGUCCUGAGCCAGUGAGACCACGAACCCACCAGAAGGAAGAAACUCCGAACACAUCUUAACAUCAGAAGGAACAAACUCCAGACACGCCGCCUUUAAGAACUGUAGCACUCACCGCGAGGGUCCGCGGCUUCAUUCUUAGUCAGUGAGACCAAGAACCCACCAAUUCCAGACACAGUGUGACAGACAAGCCAUGGAG
rnacentral:lncRNA from 1 species